rnacentral:rRNA from 1 species
UACGAAGGGUGCAAGCGUUAAUCGGAAUUACUGGGCGUAAAGCGUGCGUAGGCGGUUUCUUAAGUCCGUUGUGAAAGCCCUGGGCUCAACCUGGGAACUGCGAUGGAUACUGAGGAGCUGGAGUACGGUAGAGGAAGGUGGAAUUCCCGGUGUAGCGGUGAAAUGCGCAGAUAUCGGGAGGAACACCGGUGGCGAAGGCGGUUCUCUGGGCCUUACCUGACGCUGAGGAGCGAAAGCGUGGGGAGCGAACAGG